GCAUUGGUGGUUCAGUGGUAGAAUUCUUGCCUGCCACACGGAAGACCCGGGUCCGAUUCCCGGCCAAUGCA
rnacentral:tRNA from 1 species